GCGAACAGGAUUAGAUACCCUGGUAGUCCACGCCGUAAACGGUGGAUGCUGGAUGUGGGGACCAUUCCACGGUCUCCGUGUCGGAGCCAACGCGUUAAGCAUCCCGCCUGGGGAGUACGGCCGCAAGGCUAAAACUCAAAGAAAUUGACGGGGGCCCGCACAAGCGGCGGAGCAUGCGGAUUAAUUCGAUGCAACGCGAAGAACCUUACCUGGGCUUGACAUGUUCCCGACAGCCGUAGAGAUACGGCCUCCCUUCGGGGCGGGUUCACAGGUGGUGCAUGGUCGUCGUCAGCUCGUGUCGUGAGAUGUUGGGUUAAGUCCCGCAACGAGCGCAACCCUCGCCCUGUGUUGCCAGCACGUCGUGGUGGGAACUCACGGGGGACCGCCGGGGUCAACUCGGAGGAAGGUGGGGAUGACGUCAGAUCAUCAUGCCCCUUACGUCCAGGGCUUCACGCAUGCUACAAUGGCCGGUACAACGGGAUGCGACACUGUGAGGUGGAGCGGAUCCCUUAAAACCGGUCUCAGUUCGGAUUGGAGUCUGCAACCCGACUCCAUGAAGGCGGAGUCGCUAGUAAUCGCGGAUCAGCAACGCCGCGGUGAAUGCGUUCCCGGGCCUUGUACACACCGCCCGUCAAGUCAUGAAAGUGGGUAGCACCCGAAGCCGGUGGCCCAACCUUUUGGGGGGAGCCGUCUAAGGUGAGACUCGUGAUUGGGACUAAGUCGUAACAAGGUAGCCGUACCGGAAGGUGCGGCUG
rnacentral:rRNA from 1 species